CCCUUGCCUGUAGGAUGCCCGGCCAUCCAUCCCCGUUGCCGCUGGGGAGCGGCGCCUUAUCAGGGCCGCCCGACGCCGCUGCAGCUGCCGCUAGGAUUCUUGUACGUGCAUCACACCUACGUGCCUGCACCACCCUGCACGGACUUCGCGCGCUGCGCAGCCAACAUGCGCUCCAUGCAGCGCUACCACCAGGACACGCGAGGCUGGGAAGAUAUCGGCUACAGUUUCGUGGUGGGCUCGGAUGGCUACGUGUACGAGGGACGCGGCUGGCACUGGGUGGGCGCGCACACGCUCGGCCACAACUCCCGCGGCUUUGGCGUGGCCAUAGUGGGCAACUACACCGCGGCGCUGCCCACCGAGGCCGCUCUGCGCACAGUGCGCGACACACUCCCGACUUGUGCGGUGCGCGCCGGCUUCCUGCGGCCGGACUACGCGCUGCUGGGCCACCGCCAGCUGGUGCGCACCGACUGCCCCGGCGACGCGCUCUUCCACCUGCUGCGCACCUGGCCGCACUUCACCGCGGUGAGUCUGCGCAGCCUGCCCUACCACGGCCCGCCGCCCCUCAGUCUACACAAGUGCCACAAGGUCCCUGUCCCCUGCCUGUAACCGCUGUGCCCACACAGCCUCAGCCAGGCCCCCAGCUUCCCUGCCGCACGUCUUUUCAGGCAACCCAGGCCCAGCCUUUGCGGGUCACUCUGCAGGCAACAUUCCUGAUCCUGUGACUUCUGCCUGUGCGGCCUCAGCUCAGCCCCAGACCCAGCCAGCCUGUCCUUUACCCAGCUCCUAAUACCUCUACCUUUCCAGCCAGGUCCUGGACCCUGAC